GACGAACGCUGGCGGCGUGCUUAACACAUGCAAGUCGAACGGUGAAGCGCCUUCCUUUUUGGUGGGUGUGGAUGAGUGGCGAACGGGUGAGUAACACGUGAGUAACCUGCCCCCUUCUUCUGGAUAACCGCAUGAAAGUGUGGCUAAUACGGGAUAUUCUGGGUCUGUCGCAUGAUGGGUCUGGGAAAGAUAUUGUUUCGGUGGGGGAUGGGCUCGCGGCCUAUCAGCUUGUUGGUGGGGUGAUGGCCUACCAAGGCGGUGACGGGUAGCCGGCCUGAGAGGGUGGACGGUCACACUGGGACUGAGACACGGCCCAGACUCCUACGGGAGGCAGCAGUGGGGAAUAUUGCGCAAUGGGCGCAAGCCUGAUGCAGCGACGCCGCGUGAGGGAUGGAGGCCUUCGGGUUGUGAACCUCUUUCGCCAGUGAAGCAGGCCUGCCUCGUUUGUGGGUGGGUGGACGGUAGCUGGAUAAGAAGCGCCGGCUAACUACGU
rnacentral:rRNA from 1 species